ACAGUUCAAAGUCUGUAUUUGAUAAGAGUAAUGUAAUUUGUGAUGUUGAUGUUUUAAUUAAUUUGAUAAUAUUCGAUGUUUAUAAAUAGCUUACUUAAACUCUAUUGAUGAUAUCUGUACCAAAAUGAUAGCAUAUUUUGAUUUAGGAUCAGGAUAGCAUAUUUUGAUUUAGGAUUUAAAUUAGGUCAGAUAUUUCCCAAACAGAAGUAAUUAACCUACAUCUGUAUUUUUUUUUUUUUACUGCAGUGAGCUUUGAAGUAAAUGGUAUUGGAUUUAUGAGUGCAUAACUGGAUGAAUUUAGAUAAGGAUUCCAGGUCUUAGGGCAUACAGAGUCCGAGAGAACAGUGUUGAUCAUAAUAGCUUUAUAUUAAUGCUGGUAUUAGCAUAAUUAUGAGUAAUAACAACUUAUUUUUCCCAGUGACAGUAGCACAGGCGGACCCAGUUCCUGCUUUGAGAUGUAUGGGCCAUUAUAGUUUGGUGGUGCCUUCUUCUUCUUCUAUGACUUUUAUUAGAUCCACAACAAUACUUUUGUUAGAUAUUAGAUUUCUAGGUGGUCUCUUACUGAACAAAUAGCUUUCAUUUUAAUUUAAACAAACUUUAAUUAAGUGACAAAUUUCAAAAUCUGACUGAAAAUUCAAUAAGACAUUUGAGUAUCCUAUAGGGAAUGGUUGACAUUUUAAGCUGAUUAAAAAAAUAGAAGAAAAUUUUUUUUUUUUAUUGCAGUAGAACAUGGGGCCCACCUGUCUGACUUGUUGAAUCAACCUAAUCCAAUUGAAGAAGAAAAAACAUAUAUAUUAAAUGAAAAACAGUAACCAGAAAAUCUUUAUUUUGUCACUUUAAUGUUACGGUUAUGUGAAACCACAACGAAUUAAUUCAGAAUUCCUUCUCGCUGCAGUGUACGUCUCCCCCACGAAUGAUGAAUGGUAUCGUCCUCUUUGCCCCUGUCAAUCCACUGAAAUCACGAUCGCAAACGGGAGCCGAGAUGGUGUCAAACCUUAGGAGUGGGGCAGGUGCUUUCAAAACACACUGUCUCCCUUGAAAAAGGUGCAUUAGUUCAUCAGUACCGUGAAAAAUCUGCAUCAGUCAGGGACUGUGGAUAUCUGUCUACACCGCUGACGGUCCAGGUGAUGCUCAAUCCCCGUCUACGGAGGAACCCCCCACUCCCACAGAGAGCCCAGAGGUGAAGGAGGGCUCCUAGGUGGCUGAGUCUAUGCCUAGACCACAGAGAUGGGGCCUCGACCGCCCCCGCCUUUCCCCUGGAGCUCAUCCUCCACCGACUGUUCCUGAUGCCUGUCAGACUGCAUUAUGGGAAGCAACAGAGGGCUGCUAAAAUGUGAAAUGAAGGACAAGGUCUUCAAAGGGUCCGUGCAAUGAAAAAAUGGAAUGUCCAAAAAACAGGAAAGGAAGCAGAAUAUUGCUAGAGGAAGUCGUAGAGCAAUCCUCACUUUUUUUAAACACUGAGAAGCCAAAACGUGGAGGGACCUGCCUGAGAACGCUUUAAUAAAUUUUACGCAUUUGUUUGACAAAAUGCUGUUCUUUUUAUGAGCUUUCUAUCCAAUAAUGACUAUUGUGAGUUACGUACUGUAUACAUCCAGUUGUGGUUUGAUAUUGUAUGAUAUUAUGUGAUCUUAGUAAUGUGUCUUUGAAAAUCGCCUCAGUCUUUGGAAAGGGUAACCAUGAAGAGAUACAGAUGUGUGUGAAUAUAUUCAAGCGUCAUGUAGCAUCUUCAGCCUUCAAAAAAAAAGAAAAAAAAGAAAGAAAGGAUAUUAAAAAAUUAGUUUUAUAAAAAAUUGAUUCGGGAGUAAAUUAAUCAUAACUGCCAAACCUGAAAAAAAAAUGCAAUAUGAAAAGACAGGAGACUUCAAAGUAGGAUAAGAAAAAAAUUGAUGUUUUAAUAAAUAUUCAAAAUGCACACUGAUUUAUAACUUAAAUUUGAAUGAUUCAGCAUAUUAAAAUGAAUAAGACUACUAAACUAAUGUAAUAUCAGUGUGCAAAGGAUUUUAUAACUAAAAAAAUAUGUCCACUUUCUCUAUAAACUCUCAUACUGUAUGUGAUGUAUAGAGUGACCUUACUGAAGGGAGUGUACUUACAAUAUAUGUUUGUGUUUAGAUCUUCGAUGUCAGUUGAAAAUACAUGUUCUUGAAAAUAUAUACAAACUCAAAUUAAUAAUUGAGCUAAUCUAAACCAUAUAAUAAAACAGUACUUGUUCCUUUUCUAAAUGUGGUGGUGCGAGGUUGUCCAAGAGCCAUAGCCUUUUUAAAGGUCUGUAUAGCCUAAACAUGCAAACUGAAUGGAAGGAUAUGACUGUGAUGUGAAGUUGACAAGUCCAGAGAGAUCUUUUUUAUUGUCUGCGUCAUCAUGAAAAGUGUAUUAUUUCUUAAGCGUGGGGCAUUUUGGGAUGUUGAUUUUUGUCUAUUUUAAUACUCUGUGUUUAUUUUACAGUAUCGUCCCAUUUAUACUCUACGCUGAUGACUGCUAAUGUAUCAGUGUAAAAUGUUGUAAUUGCCAAACUGGGAUAAAAUUGCCUUUGUAUGUUUUUACACUGCAGUAACUGUGCUGUUAAAAACACAUCGAUGAAGUCACACAAUGUGUGUGUUGUAUCUAACAUUACAAAGACAGUGAAUCUGUGAAACUCUUUAUGUAUAUACACAAAUAUCGAAAACGUAUGAUACCAAAAGGGGCCAGUAUGAGAAAAUCAAUUGAAACUUGCUGUACCUCAGAAUCCUUUUUAAUGCAUUAAGUGCUGUCUUUUCACCACCAGGUGGAGCCACUGUUCGCACGUGGACAUUGCAAGCUACGCGCCAUUUGUUGUCGAUAUGAAACAAUAAGAGGGUGACCAUGUGUUUCUCUGCAAUAAAAGUCUAAUGUUA